GUGAGUCAUCGAAUCUUUGAACGCACCUUGCGCUCCUUGGUAUUCCGAGGAGCAUGCCUGUUUGAGUGUCAUUAAUAUAUAUAUCAACCUUCUCUUGUUGAGUGGUUUUGGAUGAGGGGGGUUUGCUGGUCUCUUUAAAGGUUUCAGCUCCCCUGAAAUGCAUUAGCAGAACAACCUGUUCAUUGGCGUGAUAACUAUCUAUGCUAUUGAAUGUGAAGGGCAGUUCAGCUUUCUAACAGUCUUUGGACAAUUCAUCAUUAAUGUGGCCUCAAAUCAGGUAGGACUACCCGCUGAACUUAAGCAUAUCAAUAAGCGGAGG
rnacentral:rRNA from 1 species